rnacentral:rRNA from 1 species
UACGUAGGGUGCAAGCGUUAAUCGGAAUUACUGGGCGUAAAGCGUGCGCAGGCGGUUUUGCAAGACAGAUGUGAAAUCCCCGGGCUCAACCUGGGAACUGCAUUUGAGACUGCAAGGCUAGAAUCUGGCAGAGGGGGGUAGAAUUCCACGUGUAGCAGUGAAAUGCGUAGAUAUGUGGAGGAAUACCGAUGGCGAAGGCAGCCCCCUGGGCUAAGAUUGACGCUCAUGCACGAAAGCGUGGGGAGCAAACAGG